GACAGAGGCCUCAAGCGUUAGGCGGAAUCACUGGGCUUAAAGCGUGUGUAGGCGGAUCGUUAAGUGUCUUGUGAAAUCCCACGGCUCACCCGUGGAACUGCUCGGUAUACUGCUCGUCUUGAGCCAACUAGGGGCGACCGGAACAAACGGUGGAGCGGUGAAAUGCGUAGAUAUCGUUUGGAACGCCGAUGGUGAAAACAGGUCGCUGGGGUUGUGCUGACGCUGAGACACGAAAGCCAGGGGAGCGAACGGG
rnacentral:rRNA from 1 species